UCUCCUUCUCCCACCCGCGGCGCCAUGGCCCAGACCCCCCCUGCCUCCUUUCGAGCCCGGCCAUGGAUGGAUCCUCAGGAGGAGGAGAAGAAGGGCGCCGGGCUCCCCUGCAACUCCCCUUCCCGCUCCUCGCCGCCAGACUUUUCUCUCGCCCUCUCUCCUCGCCGCCGUUGGCUAACCCUAGCCAUGCAGCCUCCGGUGAACUUCGUCGCCUAGUUCGCCGGCGCAUUGCCUGCCCCUUCUGGCGCACCUCCUAGACGUCUCCUGCACGCCUCCCCGGCUCUGCAUCGCCUCGCCUCGCCUCCUGGUGCUCGUGCGUCUCGGCUUGUGGGCGACGGCCGUGGUGAUGCGGCGGUUGCCGGCCAUGGCUUCCCGCGUACACGCGGUCGUGUGCUUGGCUGGCGUUCCCGCUCAUCGUCGCCAGAUCCCCACCCUCCUCUCCUCUGCCGCCCACCCCGACGACGGGAACCGCCACUCACCACCAAUUCCUUCCUUGACCUCCCCUUCUCGUUGCCCGUCCACCACCGGAUCCGGUCAUCGCAGGUGGCCCGACGUCGAGGACCACGCCGGCGGCUGCACCGUCCAUAUCACCCCGCCUGCGCCAGAUCUGAACCGUCAACCGCCACGACCCUGACCACCGCGUCCUCGGAACGGGCAGGACAAGAGGAGGGAGCAGGGCGACGUCCGACGGCGACCUGACCAUCCUCCUGGUUCUCGCCGGCAACCACUUCCUCGUGCUCUUGCUCAACAUGGAGGAGGGAGGAGGGAGUCCGUUGGUGCGGGGCCCACGGCACCACUCCCUCGUGCUUCUCCUCAACAUCCGGUUCGAGGCUGUGAUCCACUUUGCGGGUCUCAAAGCUGUCGGGGAGAGAGUGGAGAAGCCCCUGCUUAGUACGACAACAACCUCAUGGGCACAAUCACCCUCCUCCAAGUCAUGGCCGUACAUGGCUGCAAGAAGGUACCAACCUUAUUUCUUUUCUUCUGUUCGUCUUCUU